UCACAAUAAAACUGUAGCAUUUCUACUUUUGGAUGAGUAAUAUGAUUAGCAUGGCCCCUGGGUAAGGAUGACAUACAUAAACUGAGAAAUGGUCUUUUUUUAA